GCAAAAAUACUAAACACAAGAGGGAGAAGGCCACCGCUCUAGCCUGAGACAUCCCCAGCUGGUGGGGCGGUGUCGGACCACGGAGAGCCGCGCCUGCGCACUACAGACUCCGAAGCCAGGGCGACCUCAGGGAGGUGGGCGGGACUGCCCGGGCAUCCGGGUCCCUCACCCCGCCCCCGCUGCAUGAAUGAGAGGCCCGGCGCCCGCCCCUCCCCCUCCGGGCCCGCCCCUCGCCGGGGCGCCGCGGGCAGUCUGCCGCUGCCACCUCAGCCCCGCUCGGUGCCGACUGACGCCCGCCGCUCACCACCCGGAGCUGACGGUCCCAACACGGUCGCCGCCGCCGCUGCCGGCACGACAGAACCUGGCACCCAGUGCAUUGUUGAAUUAGACUGAAGUGCACAGUGGUGUGUGUGAUGUAAUGUGGCCAACAACCUCUUCCAG
rnacentral:lncRNA from 1 species